AGUAACAACACAAAAGAUGAACUUGUUGUUUAACCAAUCAGAAGUACAUGGAGAGAAAUAUUUAACAUAUGGUGCAAGCAAAAGGCAGAGAAAUCAGCUCCAGACAUCCCAAAGUUCAGCUUCAUCAGUUGAUAUGAUAUUCUUCAACAUUCGUCGCUAGGUUUCUGCCCAACGAAAGACUCGUCGUCGUCGUCAUCAUCCGCUCCUUCGGGGAGAGGACAGCCUUGGUAGGAAUUAUUGUCGACGCAAUAC